rnacentral:rRNA from 1 species
CCUACGGGAGGCUGCAGUGGGGAAUAUUGCGCAAUGGGCGCAAGCCUGACCCAGCAACGCCGCGUGAAGGAAGAAGGCUUUCGGGUUGUAAACUUCUUUUAAGAGGGAAGAGAAGAAGACGAUACCUCUUGAAUAAGCCACGGCUAACCACGUGCCAGCAGCCGCGGUAAUACGUAGGUGGCAAGCGUUGUGCGGAUUUAGUGGGGGUAAAGGGCGUGCAGCCGGGAAGACAAGUCCGAUGUGAAAUCCGGGGGCUCAACCGCGGAACUGCUUUUGAAACUGUUUUUCUUGAGUACAAGAGAGGUCAGUGGAAUUCCUUGUGUAGCGGUGAAAUGCGUAGAUAUAAGGAAGAACACCAGUGGCGAAGGCGGAUGACUGGACGGCAACUGACGGUGAGGCGCGAAAGCGUGGGGAGCAAACAGGAUUAGAUACCCUUGUAGUC